UACGUAGGGGGCAAGCGUUGUCCGGAAUUAUUGGGCGUAAAGAGCUCGUAGGUGGCUUGUUGCGUCUGCCGUGAAAGCCCGUGGCUUAACUGCGGGUCUGCGGUGGAUACGGGCAGGCUAGAGGCUGGUAGGGGCAAGCGGAAUUCCUGGUGUAGCGGUGAAAUGCGCAGAUAUCAGGAGGAACACCGGUGGCGAAGGCGGCUUGCUGGGCCAGUUCUGACGCUGAGGAGCGAAAGCGUGGGGAGCGAACAGG
rnacentral:rRNA from 1 species